rnacentral:rRNA from 1 species
GAUGAACGCUGGCGGCGUGCCUAAUACAUGCAAGUCGAGCGAACAGAGGAGGAGCUUGCUCCGCUAACGUCAGCGGCGGACGGGAGAGUAACACAUCGUUAACCUACCUAUGAGACUGGGAUAACUUCGGGAGACCGGAGCUAAUACAGGAUAAUAUAUUGAACCGCAUGGUUCAAUAGUGAAAGACGGUUUUGCUGUCACUUAUCGAUGUAUCCUCGACGCAUUAGCUAGUUCGUAUGGUAACGGCUUACCAAGGCAACGAUGCGUAGCUGACCUGAGAGGGUAGACGGCCACACCGGAACGGAGAGAAGAUACAGACGACUACGGGAGGCAGCAGAAGGGAAAGUAACGCAAUGGGAGGAAGCCUCACGGGGCAAAGCCGCCUGAGUUGUGAGGGUAUUCGGAUAGUAAAACUCUGUUAUUAGGGAAGAAGAAAUGUGUUAGUAACGAGGCAGUUCUUGACGGUACCUAAUCAGAAAGCCACGGCUAACUCCGUG